UACGAAGGGGGGCUAGCGUUGCUCGGAAUCACUGGGCGUAAAGGGUGCGUAGGCGGGUCUUUUAAGUCAGGGGUGAAAUCCUGGAGCUCAACUCCAGAACUGCCUUUGAUACUGAGGAUCUUGAGUUCGGGAGAGGUGAGUGGAACUGCGAGUGUAGAGGUGAAAUUCGUAGAUAUUCGCAAGAACACCAGUGGCGAAGGCGGCUCACUGGCCCGGUACUGACGUCAGGCACGAAAGCGUGGGGAGCAAACAGG
rnacentral:rRNA from 1 species